rnacentral:misc_RNA from 1 species
AAGUGAGGAUACAUUAUUAUAAAUUAUUAUGCGUACUUGAUUUAUUAUGAAUUCAAAACACGAUAUUUAUAGUGGGAUUUACCUAUAAAAUAUAUAAGUACUAUACAUUUGUAUCUUAAGUCUAUAAUGAUGGCCUAAUUUAAUAAUUAAUGAUUACCUAUAACCAGGGAUAGAAACCUUGUGGAAAGCCUCGGCAGCUAGCACCAUUUGCUGUGCCUGCAAU